CGCUCACGCCAUCUCUCCUUUCGCCAACAGCACCAAUUUCUUUCUCUCCCGAUAGCACGCUGCCGCCGGCCGCUCCAUCGAUCGCCUCCCGGCACAAGCGGCCACUCCGUCGUAUCUCCUCAGUGCCUCAUCUUCCUAUCUCCCCUCACUCCUCCACCGAUCCCCACCUAUGCAGACCCGCACCCCCUAUCCAUCCUCACUAGAGCUUGUGCAGCCCCAUCCAACUAGGUUAUAGCAAUGUGAAAGUUGGCGAUGGAUCGAGGCCAUUGGCGCUGAACCUUCUGGCGGCGUCUCCGGCAGUCCAGAGGCCUCCGGACGAUGGGGGUGGAGAUUAGCCGCAGCCGCGCUGGGGGCAAACCCUACCGAGGUAGGCGGCCGUGCGGGGGAUUGACCGCAGCGGGUUGUCGCAUCCCCCUCUUCUCUCUCUUACCGUUCUCAUUGCCAACCCCCCUCUUCUCUCUCUUACCGUUCUCAUUGCCAACCCCCCUCUCCCGCGUUCUUGCUUAUGCACCCCACGUUUCCCAUCUCCAUCAGACAUCCACAAAUAGAAGCCGCAAUUUCGUCGACUAGCAACAAGCUCAAGGGCUUGGCAUGUUGCAGGCCAAUUUGUUUCUUAUCUUGACAUUAGAUCAGAACGAAGCCAAAUGUCAGAGAUCUUGUUUCAAUUUGAAAGCCAUGAAUCAAUACAUUGUGCGAAAACUGAACCAAACUCAGUAAGAUGCUUUCUUCAAUUAUGUCUGUAGAACUGUAGAUCCAGCAAUAUUAAGAAGUUUGCAUCUCCGAUUCUUAAUGAAUUUCCGAAGUGCUUCACCUGAUUUAUUAGGGCAUUCUUUUCUGAUGGCAUUAUGAUAUAUGCCGUGUACGUGUCGUCAAUGAUGCAAACAGCGGUGUCACUCGUUUUUUCGCCGAGUCAGCAUCGGGCGACACACCUAGGCCUUAGGCGUCGAUGGCGACGAGGAGCAUGUGUUGGUCGCCGUCGCGACACUCGUGGUAAGCCAGCAGGUAUAGGCCUCCUCCUUCCUCACUUCCUUCCGAUGUGUCCCUGUGCCCCUCCAGCCCUCCAUUUUAACGCACGGUCCUAACCCCAUCUUAUCCAUCUCUCCAAUAUGGAUUGGAUGUAAAAGCAGUUAAGAGACCCUGAAAGAGAUGGUUCAUUUUUUGCACGUCAGGGUGAGUAGGGGGUACUGCAAGGUUUGUGUAGAUUAUUACCCGAAUAGCUUAGUGUGAUUCAGCAAGUAUAGCUACAGUGGCAUGCAGCUGCAGUGCUUGUGAUACAUGUAUUACAAGUUCGUAUUCAGUCCGAAUCUUUGGGGUCAGCGUGCUGGGAUUAUUAUUUUGAAAUCUUUUGGAAGAUGUUCUCAAAUUAGUUGCGUGCGGUGUUAAAUUAUGAUGUGUUUUUGAAAUUUAAUUGCUUUUUAUCUUGUGGUGCUUUUUAGGUGAGUGCUCAUGCCUAGGUUGUGCUCUGCGACAUGAUUAUAUUGGGCUUGAAUUGUGAUGUAUACCAGGUGAGCGGCGAGUACUUGACAUUGUAAUUAUGUAUUAAACUAGACAAUGUCUUAUUUAUUCCUUCUUAGAUAAACAUAUUAACUUGAACUUUUCUUUUACUGCAAGAUUUAAUUAAAUUCAGAGGAAUUUUCCUGAAAUAUCAUGGAUUAUGUGAUUCUUAAAAAUGAAUUAAUAGCACAUAAACUAAAAUAGUCAUCCCAAAUUUACAAAGGCUCUAGGCCUACAAAAAAUGAAUGAUAAAGCACAGGGAGUAUCCGGAAACAUACUCUCUACAUUAUGGCAACUAAUGGCAUAGAUGCCAUUGAGCACUUGCAGGUGUGCAAUGUUCCCUAAACGAAAGAGAAUGCCACAGCAACAUGUCCAGUUAGGCUGGCUAGCUCGCAAUAUGCAUACAGCUCUAUGAGGCCCAUGGCCAGCAUCUUAGCUUGGUACACAAGCAUACAAUACCCAAUUUCUGUUACUAUUAAAUCAGUAAUGAAAACAAUUGCUGCACCUCACAUAUAGAGCAUGCACAAAAAGAUCACAUACUCCAAAAAUAAUCUUCACAUGGAUAUACACAUUUGGUUUUAAGUAACCUCUUACAUCAUAUGAGUACACAUCAAGAUAAAAGUCAUUAUAAGAUGCAAUGAACUGCGUAUGCGAUGAAUGGAGUAAAUAUUAUCUUGUAUCAAUUUGUAAUGAAAGAUGAGCUGCUAAGUGGAGUUUUAACUUUCUUUUGUCAAUCAUUGUCCUGUUUUCUUUUGGUUUAGGAUGCAUAAGUGAUGUUCUCUUAGCAUAUUUUCUCUUAUCCCUACAAUGUUAUAGAAGGUUGUGUGUUCUUGAAGAUUGUCUUGCAUUAAUUGGCCUUAAGUGCAAGGUACAGUCUACGUGCUAAAAAUAUAACUUAUCAGAUGGCCAAUCAUUAAUUGUUUAUGAAGAGAAGCGUCUGGCUGUAAGUCCAAAGAUGCUAUCUGUUGAUGUUUGCAUUGUACAGCUUAUAAGAAACAAUGCACUUCUAUGCUUGGAGUUGUCAUGUGCUGAUAUAAUUGUUGAUCUUGGAUAAGCUGGGUCCAUUUUCUGCUUAAUUAUGUUUUGUUUCCACUUUUACAACUUGAAUAGAUGCGUUCCAACUAUUUGAUUCUCUAUUAUUUAAUUAAGGAACAACUCUCUGGAGGGUGCAGUGGUAGUUCCUUAGGUUUAAAGUGUUCCUCUGACCUUGACACUUAAGAAACCUAUUUCCAGUAAAAAUACAGGUACAAAAAUGAGAGUCUAGAAAUAAACAUGUAGGAAUAAAACUUAAGCCUAGAUUGGAUAGACAUGAGAGUCUACAAAAAAACAUGGUUGACAGCAGCUAUCCAAGAUUAAAGAUGAUCAGUGAGUUAAGAAACUUCCUUAUCAUUUCUUCCAUUUACAAUAAUUUUUACACGGCACCCACUCUCUUAUCCAAUCCUGCUGCAAGAUUGAGUUUGUGGUGACUUCCAUUUGUAUUUCAACCACGUUGAGAAAUUUCUGUUUGGCUUCCAUGAUCUUUCAUAGUUAAUUGUGUCUCUGAUGUAUUUAAAUAUCUUUUGUAGCAUCCACAUGGUAUGUACUAAUUAAAUUUUGCCCUUUAUGUCGCUGCUCACAGAUCUCACUUGAAGCAUGUAUUCGCUGAUACUGGCCAUAAGACUGCAGCUAUGUAUUUGCACAAUAUGUUACAGCUGCGGUGAAAUUUGAUUCAGAGUUGAGAUGAUUUGUCGCUGGAUUCUUAUACAUGAAGAAUCAAUCCGCUUCAAACGUUAUCAGUAUACUUCAUUCUUUCAAAGUUUUGCACUAUUGCAAAGGAUUAAACCCCUUUAGUUUUAUAUUUUUCUUCUGGUUAGUUCACAAUGAUUUGCUCUAUUCUUUGUUCCGUGACUGUGAUGAUUGAAUGCAUGAGCCCAUGGUUGAUCUAUCCUACCAAUUUAGGGUAUGUCUCAAUGGUCUUUCUGUUCUUAGACUACCCCGUUCAUGCUCAAUCAUGUGAACUGUGGAUGCACAAAUACACACUUUAAUCUAACAAAUCUGAUAAUUGGAAAACUUCCAGAUUGCAUGUUUAGUGUUCAUUUCUGAAGAACUUAUAUAGUUUUUUGAACUUAUAUAGCUGAAUGAUAGAAAGUGCUGCCCGUUAUAUAGUGAAGUAAUUUUAUAGAAUGAUAUACAUGACCUAUGAACUUAUUCCUCGGAGUAGCUUCCCGUUAUUUAAUCUAAAUAUCUGAAUACGCUUCUAAGCUAGAUCUUGAUUUACUUAGUGCUGCCAUUUCCUUUCAACUGAAUUACCUUAACAAAUAUUUAUUGAUGAUUAGGGGAAAUUCAAUUCGGCUCCCGGGUGCGUAUGCUCCCUCUACCAAAAAAACAUAUUUCGAAAUGUCAAAAAAAUUGGAUAAAAAAUUCUGCA